ACAAAGGCAACUCCCUUGGAUGCUAAUCUGCCAUGUUGACUGAGGACUAAACCUUUUCUGGGAAGGACUCUGAGAUUUCCAGUUUAUCUUUUGUUAUGUGUAUAAAUCCUGCCCGCAGGUCAAAAUAACCUUGAUGUUAUCAAACCUCAAUUGUCCUUCACAUCACAUCUGAAUCAUGCAUACCCUUUCCCUAUGUAAACCCUGUCUCUGGGGAGUCAUGGGGUGGGGAUCCACCAUUUCUCUCACCACCACCUGAGGCCCAAGGCACAGACACAACUUCUGCUCCUAAGUCCCUAUUAAAUGUUUCUUCCUAAGAAAGAAAAAAUUUUUGUGUCAGCCUCUUUCUUUGCCUUCCACUUUCUGGGACUUUGGGGGUAGGUCUGCAUAGACCUGCCCAGUGCAGAACUCACUCAUGCUGCGAAUGUGAGCAUGAAUAGGAUGGAGUAAAGAGCUAUGUAUACACUAUGGGAUUGUUUUAUUGUGUUCUUUAGCAGGAAAAUAAGAGUGUUUUUCUACAUAAAGCCUCUAUGGAAAAGAAAUUAUAGCUGCUUUACUGAGUGAUUACUACAUGUCAGGUAUUCUCCUACUUAGGAGAGUACUUUGCAAGUAUUUUUUAUUCUACCUCCCAGCAAAUCCGUGAAGCAGAUGGCAUUAUUUAUUUCUUUUAGUUACCACUUUUAAAAAAUGAGGUAAUGGGAGACACAAAGCAGUCCUUUGUCCUGAGUUCUAAAGCCAGAUUUCAACCCAGUCUGACUGCAGAGAAUAUGUUCUCAAAAGCUAAAUAACCUGCCUUAUGGUAAAACUUACUUGAAACGUUAAACUAAAUGAGAGCACUUAAAAUUUUUUUCUAAAUCUACUUUUAAAAAAAUUGGAUAACCAAGGGCUUUUACUGAUAUACUGAAGAUUUUGUUUGCCAGUACUUGGGCUCCUGUAAUUCAGAAUGGCAUUGGGUCUCUGAAUAGCACAGAGCUAGACUCUGUGUUUUGUUUUGUUUUAAAAAGAUAGGGUCUUGCUCUGUCACCCAGGCUGGAGUGCAGUGCAGUGCCACAAUCACAGCUUACUGCAGACUCAAACUCCUAGGCUCAAACAAUCCUCUUGCCUCAGUCUCCAGAGUGGCUGGGAUCACAGGCAUAUGCUAAUAUGCCCAGCUUGCUUGCUUAUUUAUUUAUUUGAAUUGAAUUGAAGAUGGAGUCUCACUGUGUUGCCCAGGCUGGUCUCAAACUCCUGGCCUCAAGUGACCCCUGUACCUCAACCUCCCAAAGUGCUGGGAUUACAGAUGUGAACCACAGUACCCAGUCUCUGCCUGCUUAAUACUGGUAAAGAAGUUGAAGCCUUACUCGGGAGGCUGAGGCAGGAAGACCACUGGAGUCCAGGAGUUCAGGACCAGCCUGGCCAAUACACUGAGACCCUGUCUCAUUUGAAAAAAAAAAGAAAAAA
rnacentral:lncRNA from 1 species